rnacentral:rRNA from 1 species
UACAGAGGUCUCAAGCGUUGUUCGGAUUCAUUGGGCGUAAAGGGUGCGUAGGUGGUGCUGCAAGUCGGAUGUGAAAUCCCGGAGCUUAACUCCUGAACUGCAUUCGAUACUGCGGCGCUCGAGGACUGGAGAGGAGAUCGGAAUUCACGGUGUAGCAGUGAAAUGCGUAGAUAUCGUGAGGAAGACCAGUGGCGAAGGCGGAUCUCUGGACAGUUCCUGACACUGAGGCACGAAGGCCAGGGGAG